AUAUUAAUAAGCGGAGGAAAAGAAACUAACCAGGAUUCCCUCAGUAGCGGCGAGUGAAGCGGGAACAGCUCAAAUUUAAAAUCUCCUCGGAGAAUUGUAGUUUAUAGACCGGGACAUUGAGGUCUGCAGGCCAGGACAAGUCUCUUGGAAUAGAGCAUCAGAGAGGGUGAGAAUCCCGUUGUGCUUGGUCUGUCGGAUCCACUAAAUGCUUGGUCAAAGAGUCGGGCUGUUUGGGAAUGCAGCCCAAAGCGGGUGGUAUAUUCCAUCUAAGGCUAAAUAUUGGCGAGAGACCGAUAGCGCACAAGUA
rnacentral:rRNA from 1 species